UGGUCCGAGAGUAGUGGUGUUUACA
rnacentral:piRNA from 2 species